GACGAACGCUGGCGGCGUGCCUAAUACAUGCAAGUUGAGCGCUGAAGGUUGGUACUUGUACCAACUGGAUGAGCAGCGAACGGGUGAGUAACGCGUGGGGGAUCUGCCUUUGAGCGGGGGACAACAUUUGGAAACGAAUGCUAAUACCGCAUAAAAACUUUAAACACAAGUUUUAAGUUUGAAAGAUGCAAUUGCAUCACUCAAAGAUGAUCCCGCGUUGUAUUAGCUAGUUGGUGAGGUAAAGGCUCACCAAGGCGAUGAUACAUAGCCGACCUGGGAGGGUGAUCGGCCACAUUGGGACUGAGACACGGCCCAAACUCCUACGGGAGGCAGCAGUAGGGAAUCUUCGGCAAUGGACGAAAGUCUGACCGAGCAACGCCGCGUGAGUGAAGAAGGUUUUCGGAUCGUAAAACUCUGUUGGUAGAGAAGAACGUUGGUGAGAGUGGAAAGCUCAUCAAGUGACGGUAACUACCCAGAAAGGGACGGCUAACUACGUG
rnacentral:rRNA from 1 species